UACGAGUGCCUCAAGCGUUAUCCGGAAUUAUUGGGCGUAAAGGGUAUGUAGGUGGUUUUGUUAGUCUUUUGUUAAAACUCUCGGCUUAACCGAGAGGCUGCAAAGGAAACGGCAAGACUAAGAGUGUGCGAGGGGUCUGUAGAACUCAUGGUGUAGCAGUGAAAUGCGUUGAUAUCAUGGGGAAUACCAAAAGCGAAGGCAGCAGACUGGAGCAUCACUGACACUGAAAUACGAAAGCGUGGGUAGCGAAUGGG
rnacentral:rRNA from 1 species